rnacentral:rRNA from 1 species
GAUGAACGCUAGCUACAGGCUUAACACAUGCAAGUCGAGGGACCGGCGCACGGGUGAGUAACACGUAUCCAACCUGCCCUUUACUCGGGGAUAGCCUUUCGAAAGAAAGAUUAAUACCCGAUAUAAUGGAUGGGGAUGCGUUCCAUUAGGUUGUUGGUGAGGUAACAGCUCACCAAGGCUUCGAUGGAGAGGGGUUCGGAGAGGAAGGUCCCCCACAGUGGAACUGAGACACGGGCCAAACUCCGACGGGGGGCAGGAGUGAGGAAUAUUAGUCAAGGGGCGCUAGCCGGAACCAGCCAAGUGGCGGGAAAGAGGAAUGCUUAUGGGUCGUAAACUUCUUGUAUAGAAGAAUAUGUAUUAUAUGAAUAAGGAUCGGCUAACUCCGUGCCAGCAGCCGCGGUAAUAC